rnacentral:rRNA from 1 species
GACGAACGCUGGCGGCGUGCCUAAUACAUGCAAGUCGAGCGAUGAAGCUUGGUGCUUGCACCAAUUUGAAGAGCAGCGAACGGGUGAGUAACGCGUGGGGAAUCUGCCUUUGAGCGGGGGACAACAUUUGGAAACGAAUGCUAAUACCGCAUAACAACUUUAAACAUAAGUUUUAAGUUUGAAAGAUGCAAUUGCCUCACUCAAAGAUGAUCCCGCGUUGUAUUAGCUAGUUGGUGAGGUAAAGGCUCACCAAGGCGAUGAUACAUAGCCGACCUGAGAGGGUGAUCGGCCACAUUGGGACUGGGACACGGCCCAAACGCCUACGGGAGGCAGCAGUAGGGAAUCUUCGGCAAUGGACGGAAGUCUGACCGAGCAACGCCGGGGGAGUGGAGAAGGGUUUCGGAUCGUAAAACUCUGUUGGUAGAGAAGAAAGUUGGUGAGAGUGGAAAGCUCAUCAAGUGACGGUAACUACACAGAAAGGGACGGCUAACUACGUG